UACGUAGGUGGCAAGCGUUAUCCGGAAUUAUUGGGCGUAAAGAGCGCGCAGGUGGUUGAUUAAGUCUGAUGUGAAAGCCCACGGCUUAACCGUGGAGGGUCAUUGGAAACUGGUCGACUUGAGUGCAGAAGAGGGAAGUGGAAUUCCAUGUGUAGCGGUGAAAUGCGUAGAGAUCGGGAGGAACACCCGUGGCGAAGGCGGCCAACUGGGAUACACCUGACGCUGAGGCACGAAGGCGUGGGGAGCGAACGGGAUUAGAUACCCGGGUAGUCCCU
rnacentral:rRNA from 1 species